rnacentral:lncRNA from 1 species
GCGAAAUUGGUUAUGUCACUUUAUUUUAUAACUAUUUUGUCCACAUUUUCCUUUUUCUAAGGAAUGAAUAUUUACUUGAAAGGCCCACAGACAUUAUUUAGUUAUCUUUACCAUGCAUUUGUUUCUUUUAAUAUGGCACCAUGUGGAAGUGUAGUUUUGCUCAACUCAUACGUGUGUGAAAGAAAGCAUAGUGAAUAUGACUAAGUGCAUAGGCCCAGGAACCAGAUGACCUGGGUUUAAAUCCCAGCUCUUACUGUGACCCUCAGGCAAGUGCCUUCUUUUAACUCAGUUUCCUCAUCUGUAAAACAGGAAUUUCAUUGUUUAAAAUUGUGGGGUCCAAUUAUUCUGAGGUUAAUAGUAAAGCAGUAUUUUUCAGGUGCCCUGGCACAAAAGGGCUGGAAGUGCAAAAAGAAAGACAAAUGGGACUGGAGCAAUAAAAUGGAAGAUGAAGGGGUGAUAUCCAGAGAUCAGAAAUUGGAGAUGCCCCUGGGCUGGCUGCUGCACCAUUGGAGGCACUGUUAGAGUCAAGCUUGGAUCUGCUGAAGAGGUGUCACUCAGCCAAAGGGUGCUGCCUCUGCCCUAGCUGGUCAUCUGGAUUCACUUCAUUCACAUAGCAGCAAGAGUAUCUGCCACCAACUACCAUACAUUUGGAGUCAAGAGCCUUUCUCUUUUUUUUUUCAGCCUUCUCAGUUCCUUUCAGUGCCUAACAAGAGAAGCAAGAGAGCCUGGAAAUGUAGUUUGAUACCUCCCAGCCCUAGAUGUUCACAGUAUAGAAGGAGAGACUGUGACUUCUGUCUUGCUCGCCAUUUCUCAUUCUCUCUUUUUGGAGCUCUUGCUCUGGAGGAAGUGAGCUGCCAUGUUAUAAACUGCCCUAUGAAGAGGUCCAUGUGACAAGGAACUGAUGUCCCUGGCCAACAGCCAGUGAGGCCCUAAGGCCUGCAACACUCUGUGAGUGAGCCUGGAAAUGAAUCUUCUGAGCCUACCAACAACCACACUGAUCCUUAAAAUGGCUAUAGCUCCAGGUCCUUGAUUGCAGUCUUUCAAAAGACUGUGAUUCAGGGCAUUCAGGAAAGUCAUGUUUGAAUUUUUGACCCACGGAAACUUUGAGAUAAUAAGUGUUGUUUUAUUAUUUAUUUUUAAGCCACCAAAUCGGGGAGUAAUUUGUUACACAGAAAUAGAAAGUACAUCCAGGAAUGUGACUGUUGGGUUGUAGGAUGCAUAUGUAGGGGGAAAAUAACUCCCAUACGUUUGUAAUCGGAAAAGAUCCCCGUUACAAAAGACAGAUUAACAAGAGAAAAACAAGUUUAUUAACGUGUAUUUCAUAUGUACAAGGGAGAUAUCAAUGAUUAGUUCUCAAAGAAGUAGCUUUGAAUUCUAGCUUUUAUUUUAUUUUCAACAAAGAAGAGUAAAUUUUUAGAGAAGUGACAGCACAAAGGAAAAGGACUUGGAGUCUCUACAAGCAGCAACUUGUGGGGAAGGCAAACAAAUGGCAGAUAAAGGAUGGUAAAGGAGGUGGUGUUACAUUUCUGUACUGCUGGUGCAUUGAGAGACCCAAGCAAGUAUCAGGCUUUUCAUCCGUGGAACACAUGCUCCAGAACCUUCUAGCUGUUCACUUGUGAUGGAUACUCUGUUAGCCUUCACUAUUGAAUGCACUUUUAAAAAUGAUCAAAACCAACAUUUCCCACAGUAUGAAAUGUUUGCAAAAAAGGCAUUGGCUUCAGGAAGGCUCUGUUAAAAGAGAACCAUCCUCCAUGAGACAAGACCUGUCCUUUCCAUGGGAGAGGCAGUCAUUGACAAGUGUCCUCCAACACAUUUUCCCAGUUUAUCAUAUUGGCACUGAAGGAACACUCAGGAUUACAUGCUUUGGGUGUGGACGCCAAGAAGUGACAAAAAAAGGAAGUUGGGAUCAUUACGGUUAACCCAAGCAUGUUGGAAACCAGAGAGAGGCUGAGUGCUAUCAUACACAGACCCAUGAAUCGGA